rnacentral:tRNA from 1 species
GCCGGUUUAGCUCAGUUGGUAGAGCAUCUCAUUCGUAAUGAGGGGGUCGUAGGUUCAAGUCCUAUAACCGGCACCA